CGUGACUGACGGCCUCCGAGCCCGGGCGGGACGGGAUUCCGAUAUAGGGUUCUGGAGCCGUGCGUUUAGGCUUGGCCACAGCUGGGGUCACUAAGAGACCUCUCGGAGGAAUGAGCACCCGCGCUGGCGAAGAUGACGAGAAUUUUUACGGUGGUGGUGCGAGGGUUAUUUUCAGUGAACGGGGAUUGCCUGUCCGAGCAACCAGCUAUGCGCCGAGAAUCCCCAGUGCCAUAAGAGGGCUAUUUGGGGCCUUCGCUGGACUGGAGGGUCGAAGCUGCUAUCAGUUCUGUUUCUCCCUAGAACACUCCCGCCUUCUGAAGCCACAACGCCGGGGAGCGCGGGCAGCGCGGCGUCGGAGAGCUGCCUCCGCCGCCAUCUUAGCGAAGGCGAGCCCGGCGCGCGCCUGGGCACCCGGCCGGCCUCCCUUGGUCCCCCCGCGGCGUAGCGCGCAGAGGUGAAGGUCCGAGCGCGUCUGGCCCUCACUGGAGAGCGAAGAGGCAAGGUCUUCACUCCCUACCCUACAGGCUGGGAGUAAGUGCCAAUAAGGGGCAAGAAUGUGCUCCCUUGAGAGGAUGAGAAAACCCACGGCGGUUCCGCUCAACAAAGGGUGGGAUAACUUACACUUGCUUGGGAUACCAUCCUAGGCUUCUACUUCCCCAUCUUCAGCCCUUAAAUAAAAUGUUCAUCCCUCUUAAAACUACCCGAGUAGAUUUGAGCUAAAUCCUACUCUCACCGCCUUAUUUGAAAACCACUGUAGCUGGGGACCACUUACUGUUCUGCUACACGGUCACUGUGGACUGAAUAGUCUGGACUCAGACAAUCUGGCAUCUUGAACACCCGUUGAUAAUGCAGACUCUAGUACUUAAAUGGUUCAAACGUAUUUGCCCAUUUCUCUGCACACAGGAGUCCAGCAGGCACGUGCCCCUGGGCCCUGGCAAUACCCAAAAUCUUCCCAACAUUUGCAGCUAAGCAGCUUAUACAAGACAAUAACGUGUUAGAAGUAGAGCCUUAGGAAGUCAGUUCUCUUGAAGCUUAAUUUAUGCACCUGCAAAUAAGGGAUUUCGGCCAGCAUGAGUUCACCAGUGUUAAAAUAAUGCUAAACUCUUUUCAGAGUCCCAGACCUUGUGCUAAGUGUUUUGCAUACAUUAUCUCAUUUAAUCCUGACUCCAAUACUGUUUUAGGUACGUGAUACUAUUCUCCUUUUAGGAAACACAAGCAAAGUUCUAAAAGUCAGUGGUUGUAUUUUACGUCUGUCAUGAAACAUGCGAUAAAUGCAUUUUAAAACCAACUAUUGAAAGAUUUAAGAAAGUAAUAUUGUUGCCUGUGGUAAUCUCUAAUGAGUUUAUAAAUGUGCUUAAAACAAGUUACAAUGUAGCAGUGCUAGAGUUAGGUUUCACGAUCCAUUGUCAAGUAACAAAGUGGUGCGCCCCCCCAUUAAACUUUAAAUUUAGCAUAUUCACUUUACUUUUACAGAUAAAGUCCUCUGUUUCUACAAUGUUAGGGGUGCUUGUUAACACUGUAUAGUUCUGAAUAGCUUUGCUUUUUCAGUUCUUUUGUCUUAGUUUGCCAGUCUUCUCACUGUCAGCUGUUGCUUCUUGUUGCUAUCAAUGAACAUAGUUCUAUUAUCCUCUCCUGCCUUUUAAUUUACUGCUUUUAAUCUGCAGGCAAGAAAACCACAUAAUGAGGCUUGUGCAAAACUGUCAAGUAUAAAUAGGUACUUUGAGGGAGUGUCCCUUAGAAAAAGUACGAUCUUUGUGCUAGGUUAUUGUAACACUGAUUUAAAGCUGAUUAAAUACAUAUUUGCCUACUUGAUAGUUUGGUCUUUUCCUGAGUUAGGAAUAGAUUUUUUUUUUUUGUAAAGUUAAAAUUUAGAAUAUUUUCCCAUUUUAAGGUAGUGGACAUCUUCAUAGUGAGGUCAGUAGGAAUAUUUCAGUGUUACUAUCACACUGCAUCAAAUAACCAAACUACCAAUCCAAACUACAGAAUCAAAAUACAGGUACUAUAUACAUUUACUAUUUUAUACUAGAAUUAGUUACAAACAGGCCAAGAAAACCCUUUGCCUCUGCUCAAUUCUGGUAGAUUUUCUUUUGCAUCAUGUUUUAGAAGCUAGAUGAUUGUAUCUUCAUAUAUUUUAAAUUUACUUAUUAAAUCACAGAAAAGACCCAACAGACCCACUAUUAAUAGUUACUACAAUUUAAAACACUGUAGACUCAAAAAUACCUAACAAAAAACUACCAUACAUAUCUUGAUAAAGUCAAUAAGUUGCCAUUAUAGUAAUUAUUUGCUAUAAUGUAGCAGCAUACUUCUGAUCUUUAAAAUGCCAAAGUUAAUUGUCUUGUGAUUUUAAUGUGGCCUUUAAGCAUGUUUUUUCUGAAAUUAGAAUUAUUGGCAGAGGUUUAAGAUUUACAUAUUUGUAUCUAAACCACUUGAAGAAAAGUUCAAAGCCCUGAUUAUAUGUGUAUAGAUUUUAAACUUUAUAAAUUACUGUAGCACAUUCUUAGGAGUAAAUUUAUUUUUUAGUUAUUGUGUACUAGAGUAUUUUCCUUACUGCAUAUUUAAGGACUAAGUUAUUUUGAUAUUAAUGCCUAAAAAAGGAAAAGAUGCUAAUGAAAAGUUAAAAUAUAGAUAUGCCAUAAUAUUGCUUCAAAAAAUUGUGUAUCUGAGUUUUGAAAAUCAAUAUAUUCUGUGUCAGCUGACUUGAAUUUAUGGUCAGUCUUUUUAAUAAAGUAGAAAUCUCAUUUAAAAAUU
rnacentral:lncRNA from 1 species